CCUGGCUCACGAUGAACGCUAGCUACAGGCUUAACACAUGCAAGUCGAGGGGCAUCAGGAAGAAAGCUUGCUUUCUCUGCUGGCGACCGGCGCACGGGUGAGUAACACGUAUCCAACCUGCCCUUUACUCGGGGAUAGCCUUUCGAAAGAAAGAUUAAUACCCGAUAGUAUAAUGAUUCCGCAUGGUUUCAUUAUUAAAGGAUUCCGGUAAAGGAUGGGGAUGCGUUCCAUUAGGUUGUUGGUGAGGUAACGGCUCACCAAGCCUUCGAUGGAUAGGGGUUCUGAGAGGAAGGUCCCCCACAUUGGAACUGAGACACGGUCCAAACUCCUACGGGAGGCAGCAGUGAGGAAUAUUGGUCAAUGGGCGCUAGCCUGAACCAGCCAAGUAGCGUGAAGGAUGAAGGCUCUAUGGGUCGUAAACUUCUUUUAUAUAAGAAUAAAGUGCAGUAUGUAUACUGUUUUGUAUGUAUUAUAUGAAUAAGGAUCGGCUAACUCCGUGCCAGCAGCCGCGGUAAUACGGAGGAUCCGAGCGUUAUCCGGAUUUAUUGGGUUUAAAGGGAGCGUAGGUGGACUGGUAAGUCAGUUGUGAAAGUUUGCGGCUCAACCGUAAAAUUGCAGUUGAUACUGUCAGUCUUGAGUACAGUAGAGGUGGGCGGAAUUCGUGGUGUAGCGGUGAAAUGCUUAGAUAUCACGAAGAACUCCGAUUGCGAAGGCAGCUCACUGGACUGCAACUGACACUGAUGCUCGAAAGUGUGGGUAUCAAACAGGAUUAGAUACCCUGGUAGUCCACACAGUAAACGAUGAAUACUCGCUGUUUGCGAUAUACAGUAAGCGGCCAAGCGAAAGCAUUAAGUAUUCCACCUGGGGAGUACGCCGGCAACGGUGAAACUCAAAGGAAUUGACGGGGGCCCGCACAAGCGGAGGAACAUGUGGUUUAAUUCGAUGAUACGCGAGGAACCUUACCCGGGCUUAAAUUGCAGUGGAAUGAUGUGGAAACAUGUCAGUGAGCAAUCACCGCUGUGAAGGUGCUGCAUGGUUGUCGUCAGCUCGUGCCGUGAGGUGUCGGCUUAAGUGCCAUAACGAGCGCAACCCUUAUCUUUAGUUACUAACAGGUCAUGCUGAGGACUCUAGAGAGACUGCCGUCGUAAGAUGUGAGGAAGGUGGGGAUGACGUCAAAUCAGCACGGCCCUUACGUCCGGGGCUACACACGUGUUACAAUGGGGGGUACAGAAGGCAGCUAGCGGGUGACCGUAUGCUAAUCCCAAAAUCCUCUCUCAGUUCGGAUCGAAGUCUGCAACCCGACUUCGUGAAGCUGGAUUCGCUAGUAAUCGCGCAUCAGCCACGGCGCGGUGAAUACGUUCCCGGGCCUUGUACACACCGCCC
rnacentral:rRNA from 1 species